rnacentral:rRNA from 1 species
AUAUAACAGGUACUUCCUGCCCGGUGAAAAAUUUUUUAACGGCCGCGGUAUUUUGACCGUGCAAAGGUAGCAUAAUCAUUUGCCUUUUAAUUGAAGGCUCGUAUGAAAGGACACACAAGAAUAAAACUGUCUCAUUUGGACAACUAAAAACUAAUAUUAAGGUGAAGAAGCCUUGAUUAAUAUAAAGGACAAGAAGACCCUAUAGAGCUUCAUUAGUAAAAGUCAUUAUACUUAUAACUAAUUUGGUUGGGGCAACCAAAAGACAAACACACCUCUUUCAAUUAAAAUACACGCUUACCCGUACACGAACUAGAAUUUAAGCUACCUUAGGGAUAACAGGCUAAUCCUACUAGAGAGACCACAUUGACAGUAGGGGUUGGCACCUCGAUGUUGGCUUAGUGUAACUAUUGGGCGCAGCCGCCCAAUAAAGUUGGUUUGUUCAACCAUUAAUUCACUACAUGAUCUGAGUUCAGACCGGCCGCCUGUUUAU